CCUACGGGAGGCUGCAGUAGGGAAUCUUCCACAAUGGGCGAAAGCCUGAUGGAGCAACGCCGCGUGGGUGAAGAAGGUCUUCGGAUCGUAAAACCCUGUUGUUAGAGAAGAAAGUGCGUGAGAGUAACUGUUCACGUUUCGACGGUAUCUAACCAGAAAGCCACGGCUAACUACGUGCCAGCAGCCGCGGUAAUACGUAGGUGGCAAGCGUUAUCCGGUUUUAUUGGGCGUAAAGGGAACGCAGGCGGUCUUGUAAGUCUGAUGUGAAAGUCUUCGGCUUAACCGGAGUAGUGCAUUGGAAACUGGGAGACUUGAGUGUAGAAGAGGAGAGUGGAACGCCAUGGGUAGCGGUGAAAUGCGUAGAUAUAUGGAAGAACCCCAGUGGCGAAAGCGGCUUGCUGGUCUGUAACUGACGCUGAGGUUCGAAAGCGUGGGUAGCAAACAGGAUUAGAUACCCUUGUAGUC
rnacentral:rRNA from 1 species